rnacentral:rRNA from 1 species
AGAGUUUGAUCCUGGCUCAGAACGAACGCUGGCGGCAGGCCUAACACAUGCAAGUCGAGCGCGCCUUCGGGUGAGCGGCGGACGGGUUAGUAACGCGUGGGAACGUGCCCUUCUCUACGGAAUAGCCUCUGGAAACGGAGAGUAAUACCGUAUACGCCCUUUGGGGGAAAGAUUUAUCGGAGAAGGAUCGGCCCGCGUUAGAUUAGGUAGUUGGUGGGGUAACGGCCUACCAAGCCUACGAUCUAUAGCUGGUUUUAGAGGAUGAUCAGCAACACUGGGACUGAGACACGGCCCAGACUCCUACGGGAGGCAGCAGUGGGGAAUCUUAGACAAUGGGGGCAACCCUGAUCUAGCCAUGCCGCGUGAGUGAUGAAGGCCUUAGGGCCGUAAAGCUCUUUCGCCUGUGAUGAUAAUGACAGUAGCAGGUAAAGAAACCCCGGCUAACUCCGUGCCAGCAGCCGCGGUAAU